UACCUCAUGGUGUAAUGGUAGCACAGAAGGUUUUGGUCCUUCUAGUCUAGGUUCGAAUCCUAGUGAGGUAGCCA
rnacentral:tRNA from 1 species